GCAGUUUUCUGCAUUCAUUG
rnacentral:tRNA from 1 species